rnacentral:lncRNA from 1 species
GACUUAGCGGGUUUCUUUUUUUUGAAACAACUCUUGUGAUAUUUGCUUUUGAUUUCGAAGGUUGUGGCUGCCAUGUUAGCUAUUGCUAGCUUUGUCCUUAUUGCUUCCUCAAUGUUGAAUGGUGUAAGGAAGAUGUUGCUUGAACCUCUUACUGAUGUGAUUAUGGAAUGGUUCUCUUGAGAAUAGAAUGCAUCAUUGACUUAAUUGAAAC